GGGCGAGCUGGGCGUCGGAGAAGCCCUGGGCCUUGAGGCGGCGCAGGUUGUAGGCGUCCUUCGGCAGGCCGUUCUUUUCGAUCUCGCGCUC
rnacentral:tRNA from 1 species